rnacentral:lncRNA from 1 species
UUUAUGUGCAAGAGAGCUCAAUGGAUGAUGAACUGUGCAAAAUGGCUUGAGGUAUCUCUUGAGCAUACUAUAGUAUUUUGAGUGCAACUUGAGCUACAGAAGUCUUACCACCAUAAUUCUUGGACCUCAGGAAAGAUAAGAGGAAGGGCUACAACUUUUGUGUUUAUCACUUUACCAAGUUCUGAUCUAAUUAUGGUACAAAAUGCAUUGGAAUUUGAAGGACUGUUGCAUAUUGCAAUGCAGCAAAUAGAGGGCCUAAUGCCUAGGCACCAGCCACCCAGCACCUAGGUACUGGCCACUCCUCAAACACAGCAAAAAGGGAUAGAGAGCCUAGUGCCUACGCACCAACCACUAUACUUUUAGGCUCCAGCACUAGGAAUUUUAAUUUGCACAUGCUCGAAUUUGGCAUUUGGGGCUUUUUAAAGGAUGAUAUAAAUAGGUCAUUUUAAGUGGGUUUUUGGGGGUUGGAAGCAUAGAAUAUUUUCUGGAAAAGAAAGCUUUCUACGAAAGGAGAAAAGGGGUUUGGUUCCAAAAAGUUGUAGCAAGUCAUUUCUCUCACUAGUUUUCCUUUCUCUCUGUAUUUUGUAUUGUAGAAAUGAGUUAUUUUCUAGAAAUAUUGAAUUUUGCUGUAACUAUUGUUGUCGAUUUUGCACUUGCAAGUAUACGUAUCGAGCAAGUAAUAUAAUGAUGAA